GUGGGGAAUAUUGGACCAUGGGCGAAAGCCUGAUCCAGCCAUGCCGCGUGUGUGAAGAAGGUCUUCGGAUUGUAAAGCACUUUAAGUUGGGAGGAAGGGCAGUAAGUUAAUACCUUGCUGUUUUGACGUUACCGACAGAAUAAGCACCGGCUAACUUCGUGCCAGCAGCCGCGGUAAUACGAAGGGUGCAAGCGUUAAUCGGAAUUACUGGGCGUAAAGCGCGCGUAGGUGGUUUUGUAAGUUGGAGGUGAAAUCCCCGGGCUCAACCUGGGAACUGCCUCCAAAACUGCAUGACUAGAGUACGGUAGAGGGUAGUGGAAUUUCCUGUGUAGCGGUGAAAUGCGUAGAUAUAGGAAGGAACACCAGUGGCGAAGGCGACUACCUGGACUGAUACUGACACUGAGGUGCGAAAGCGUGGGGAGCAAACAGGAUUAGAAACCCUGGUAGUCC
rnacentral:rRNA from 1 species